rnacentral:rRNA from 1 species
CGUAGGUAACCUGCCUGGUAGCGGGGGAUAACUAUUGGAAACGAUAGCUAAUACCGCAUAAGAGUAGAUGUUGCAUGACAUUUGCUUAAAAGGUGCAAUUGCAUCACUACCAGAUGGACCUGCGUUGUAUUAGCUAGUUGGUGGGGUAACGGCUCACCAAGGCGACGAUACAUAGUCGACCUGAGAGGGUGAUCGGCCACACUGGGACUGAGACACGGCCCAG